UAAUAUUAUCUAACGUCUAUAGGAUACACAGCUGCUACUGGGAAUAAAUUAUUUGGAUCAUUCAAGACGUCUUUAGGAUACACAUCUGCUACCUGGAAUAAUUGAUUUGGAUCAUCCAACAUUAGAUGAGAAAUCCGAGGUUCAAACCGAGACCGCGUCUUCUUUACGAAGCCUGUCCCCAUCACGCUAUUUUUGACUGGACAGCCCCCCACAAAAAGGAUACCUGAAGCAUUAUGGACACUAACUAUGAAUGACUUCGACUCCUCCCGGCGUAUACCGGCACAGAAGGCCCUACACAUCAAGAGGGGGUUUUCGAGGUGGAAUUUGGCGCCCAGGACAUACCCAGUAAAACACUGAAACCGGAUGAUUUCAAAGGCAGACGAUUUGUUGCUGAAUGAAGCGACCAGAGAGCUUGAUACAGCCAAU